GACGAACGCUGGCGGCGUGCUUAACACAUGCAAGUCGAACGAUGAACCCGGAGCUUGCUCCGGUGGAUUAGUGGCGAACGGGUGAGUAACACGUGAGUAACCUGCCCUUGACUCUGGGAUAACUGCGGGAAACUGUAGCUAAUACCGGAUACGACCCUCGGCGGCAUCGCCAGGGGGUGGAAAGAAUUUCGGUCAAGGAUGGACUCGCGGCCUAUCAGCUAGUUGGUGAGGUAACGGCUCACCAAGGCGACGACGGGUAGCCGGCCUGAGAGGGUGACCGGCCACACUGGGACUGCGACACGGCGCAGACUCCGACGGGAGGCAGCAGUGGGGAAUAGUGCACAAUGGGCGCAAGCCUGAUGCAGCGACGCCGCGUGAGGGAUGACGGCCUUCGGGUUGUAAACCUCUUUCAGCACCGACGAAGCGCAAGUGACGGUAGGUGCAGAAGAAGGACCGGCCAACUACGUGCCAGCAGCCGCCGUAA
rnacentral:rRNA from 1 species